rnacentral:rRNA from 1 species
AGCAGCCGCGGUAAUUCCAGCUCCAAUAGCGUAUAUUAAAGUUGUUGCAGUUAAAAAGCUCGUAGUUGAAUUUCGGGAUUUGUCCAUUGGUCGGGCCUCACGGUCCGUACUGGUGUGAUGGGUUCCUACCUUCUGAAUAACCGGCAUGCCAUUUAGUUGGUGCGCCGGGGAAGCAGAGCUAUUACCUUGAAAAAAUUAGAGUGCUUAAAGCAGGCUAUUGCUUGAAUAGAUUAGCA